rnacentral:rRNA from 1 species
AGCGAACGCUGGCGGCAGGCUUAACACAUGCAAGUCGAACGCCCGGGCAACCGGGAGUGGCAGACGGGUGAGUAACACGUGGGAACGUACCCUUUGGUUCGGAAUAACUCAGGGAAACUUGAGCUAAUACCGGAUAAGCCCUUAUGGGGAAAGAUUUAUCGCCGAAGGAUCGGCCCGCGUCCGAUUAGCUAGUUGGUGAGGUAAUGGCUCACCAAGGCGACGAUCGGUAGCUGGUCUGAGAGGAUGAUCAGCCACACUGGGACUGAGACACGGCCCAGACUCCUACGGGAGGCAGCAGUGGGGAAUAUUGGACAAUGGGGGCAACCCUGAUCCAGCCAUGCCGCGUGAGUGAUGAAGGCCCUAGGGUUGUAAAGCUCUUUUGACGGGAACGAAACGGCGCUUUCUAAUACAGAGUGCUAAUGACGGUACCCGCAGAAUAAGCACCGGCUAACUACGUGCCAGCAGCCGGGUAAUGCACGACUGU